AUGGAGCUUCAGGUUAAUAGGUUCAUAAGGGCAAAUUCCAAGUCAGUCCAGGGCCUUCUCUUUGAUCUUAAAAUUCAGCAAGAAGGUUUUGGGCAUAAUAUGCCCAAAAAUGAAAAUGAAAAUGAAGGAAUGCCUUCAAACCAAGGAAAGAUGGAAAAUGAAGAACAGCCACAGGACGAGGGAAAGCCAGAAGUAGCUUGUACUCUAGAAGACAAGAAGUUAGAAAAUGAGGGAAAGACAGAAAACAAGGGCAAGACAGGAGAUGAAGAAAUGUUAAAGGAUAAAGAAAAGCCAUAGAGUGAGGAAAAGGCAAAAGAAGAAGGAAAGUCAGAGAAGGAGGGAGAGGCAGGGAUGGAGGGAGGAUCAGAGAGAGAGAGAGAAAACCAGAGAGAGAGGGAGAGCCAGAGUGUCAAACAAGGGCUGCAGGGAAGCGCCCAGCGGAGGAUGGUGUACCCAGGAAAGCCAAAAGAAAAACAAAUAAGAGGCUGGCUCAUUACCUCAAGGAGUAUAAAGAGGCCAUACAGGAUAUGAAUUUAAGCAAUGAGGACAUGAUAAGAGAAUUUGACAAUAUGGCUAAGGUGGAGGAUGAGAAGAGAAAAAAGCAAACAGAAAUUGGGGGCGUAUUUGUGGAUGCAAAGAAAUUUACAGAACCCCUUCUACCCUAGAGGUCCAAGGGAGUUCAGGGGUGGCUGCAGGGCCCCACGAAGGGACACUGAAGACAUUCCUUAUGUGUAGUGUCCCUGGCAGGCAUAUACCAGACCAUGUGCUUUAACCUUAUGGUAAUACUUUAGGCAUCCCUCCUGUUACUAGCAGCCUUUUGACCCAAAUGCAACAUGGUGUUCUCAGUAGCAAAUUUUCACCUAUUACAUGGAAAAAUGUUUAUGGUGCAUUGUAAAAUUAAAAAACACAACUUGCAGAACCAAAAAAAAAAAA